rnacentral:rRNA from 1 species
AAUGAAACGCUGGCGGCGUGGUUAAGACAAUGCAAGUCGAACGGUUUUUAAGUUGAAGGGCAACCCGGAUAUGAAAGCAGUGGCGAACGGGUGCGUAACACGUGAACAAUCUACCUCCAAGUGGGGAAUAGCUCGCCGAAAGGCGAAUUAAUACCGCAUGUGGUGGUUUCUCGCAUUGAGAGACUUACUAAAAACAGGGACCGCUAA